rnacentral:other from 1 species
GUUUCAGACGAACCGUUGUGGGGUUGAAGC